UCUCUUUCUCUCUCUUUCUCUCUUUCUCUCUCUUCCUUUCUUUUUUGUUUUGUUUUGUUUUUGUUUUUGUUUUCUGAGACAGGGUUUCUCUGUGUAUCCCUGGCUGUCCUGGAACUCACUCUGUAGACCAGGCUGGCCUCGAACUCAGAGAUCUGCCUGCCUCUGCCUCCCGAGUGCUGGGAUUAAAGGCUUGCGCCUCUACUGCCCUGCGUAAGACAUUUCUUAAUUAGUGAUCAAUCAGGGAGAACCCAGCCCAUUGUGGGUGGUGCCAUCCCUAGACUAGUGUGAUCCUGGGUUUUCUGUAAGAAAGCAGGCUGGGCAAGCCAUGAUGAAUAAACCAUGAUGAGCAAGCCAGUAAGCAGCAUCCCUCCAUGGCCUCUGCAUCAGCUCCUGCCUCCAGGUUCCCACUCUGCUUGAGUUCCUGCCCUGACUUCCUUCAGUGAUAAACAGUGCUGUGGAAGUGUAAACUGAAUAAAUCCCUCCCCCCCCCAAAAUCCCAAUUUCUGUUUUGGGCAUGGUGUUUUGUUGCAGCAUUAGAGACACUAACUGAGAUAUAAUGGCUGACUCCCAGGGAACACACAAAGCCAGUCUACCUCAAUGACAGUGUGUCUGUACCAUGUUAGCCACAUUGGCACCUUAGUCCCUCACCAAUCAGGCCAAGACUCUACUUUACCUGAUACCAUCUGUCUGAGCAGCAAUUCCCCCUCCUCUCUGAUCAGGUUUUGCUGAGGGAUACUCCCUCGGGAAGCCACUUGCCCUGAAUCUUGGCUGCUACCCAAUGCAUAGGGGAUUUGGUAUCCUGACCCUAUUUCAAUCACUCCUAAUCUUCACAAAUAACCCUUACAAUAACCCUUCAAAUAAUUCUGGCAACUUCCAUUUGACCAACUGGCAAAGUAAGAUCAAGGUGGUGAGUGAGAUGCAUCGCUGAGGCAAACUCCAGGAGGGACAGGAGUUUUCCCGAGGGAUCUGGCCAGGGCUGCUCUUCCCAGAGGUGACCUGACUACCCAACUUCAGAACAGAGCUUUAAGUUACCACACAUCUGUCCUGUGGAGGAAGACGCUGCCUCCCAAUGUUUGACGACAUCCCGAAAACAACUGGGACACAUGUGUUCACACUUUAUACAUCUAAACUAUAACGCUCUGUCAGAAUUGACCAAAUAGAAGAAAAUGCU
rnacentral:lncRNA from 1 species